CCACCACGUGACCAGGCCGGCUCUCCCCCAUCACGUGACCAGGCCGUCCCUUCUCCCCCCGCCCCUUCCCCCACCACGUGACGAGGCUCGCUUUCCCCCACCACGUGACCAGGUCGUCCUUCCCCCCCUCCCCACCACGUGACCAGGGCGCCCCGCCUCGUUCUCGCCCGGCGGUGCUAGGACGGACAGUGAUGGUGCUUGUUAGGCGCUUACUACGUGCCCAGCACUCCGUGGUGACCCCCUGGCAGCCCGCGCUUCUUUUCCUUUCUUUAAGGUUUAUUUCAAACAACUCUGUCGCAAGGGUCAGAAGAGCUUUAACCCCUAUCGAGUGGAAGCCAUCCAGUGCCAACCCUAGAAAGUUCCCUCGCCUCUAAUGGGAUGCUUCAAGUCCAUUUUCCUUUGCUCCAUUCUGAGGGGAACGAUGAAGCUCGGUGUGUGGAAGCCUUUUGCUUAGAUAAAAGUAAAGGCCUCCCUCACCAAGUCUGUUUUUUCCACCUCUUUCUGGUAAGCUUAUUCCAUUUUCAGUACACCAUUUUUGGCUACACGAUAUGCAAAUGAAACAACCAAAGUUUUUUUCCAUGGGGACUCAAAGUCAGGGCAGCCGUUAAUUGGGUUUUAGACUGUGGUGACAAUCGGGUCUUCAGCUGGUCUGUCCCUCACCUGGUACAGAUUAGGGCCCCAAUUUCCUUACUGUCCGAGGUCUCCGUUUCCAGCUUUCCUCCCCUGUGGCUCCCGUCGCUGACUCCCACAGCUUGGAAGCAGCGCCCGUGUUCCCGGGGGCCUGGGAGGGGAACGCAGACGGGGUUGGGGUGAGAUGAGAAGUCGCCCUGGCGAGAAGCUUCGGGUCAGUGGAUUUCCACAGAGAACCUUACGGUGUGGGUCUU
rnacentral:lncRNA from 1 species